ACUUUAAUUUGAUUUCUUCGGAAUGAAGUUUUUGUGACUGAGUGGCGGACGGGUGAGUAACGCGUGGGUAACCUGCCUCAUACAGGGGGAUAACAGUUGGAAACGGCUGCUAAUACCGCAUAAGCGCACGAGGAGACAUCUCCUUGUGUGAAAAACUCCGGUGGUAUGAGAUGGACCCGCGUCUGAUUAGCUAGUUGGUGGGGUAACGGCCUACCAAGGCGACGAUCAGUAGCCGGCCUGAGAGGGUGAACGGCCACAUUGGGACUGAGACACGGCCCAAACUCC
rnacentral:rRNA from 1 species